GCACAGCUGAGGAGUCCCACAAUAGGACGGAACGACCGUCCAGUGC
rnacentral:hammerhead_ribozyme from 1 species